rnacentral:rRNA from 1 species
AUUGAACGCUGGCGGCAUGCUUUACACAUGCAAGUCGAACGGUAACAGGCCUUCGGGUGCUGACGAGUGGCGAACGGGUGGGUAAUGCAUCGGAACGUGCCCAGCGGUGGGGGAUAACGCAGCGAAAGCUGUGCUAAUACAGCAUGUGAACUGAGGAUGAAAGCGGGGGACCAGGCAGCAAUGUUUGGCCUCGCGCCUUUGGAGCGGCCGAUGUCAGAUUAGGUAGAUGGUGGGGUAAAGGCCUACCAAGCCGAGGAUCUGUAGCUGGUCUGAGAGGACGACCAGCUACACUGGGACUGAGACACGGCCCAGACUCCUACGGGAGGCAGCAGUGGGGAAUUGUGGACAAUGGGCGCAAGCCUGAUCCAGCAAUGCCGCGUGCGGGAAGAAGGCCUUCUGGUUGUAAAGCGCUUUUGGACGGAACGAAAAGGUUCUGGCUAAUACCUGGUGGUGAUGACGUUACCGGAAGAAUAAGCACCGGCUAACUACGUG